AAUGAACGCUGGCGGCGUGCCUAAUACAUGCAAGUCGAGCGAACGGACGAGAAGCUUUCUUCUCUGCUGUUAGCGGCGGACGGGUGAGUAACACGUGGAUAACCUACCUAUAAGACUGGGAUAACUUCGGGAAACCGUAGCUAAUACCGGAGAAUAUUUUGAACCGCAUGGUUCAAAAGUGAAAGACGGUCUUGGUGACACUUAUAGAUGGAUCCGCGCUGCAUUAGCUAGUUGGUAAGGUAACGGCUUACCAAGGCAACGAUGCAUAGCCGACCUGAGAGGGUGAUCAGCCACACUGGAACUGAGACACGGUCCAGACUCCUACGGGAGGCAGCAGUAGGGAAUCUUGCGCAAUGGGCGAAAGCCUGACGGAGCAACGCCGCGUGAGUGAUGAAGGUCUUCGGAUCGUAAAACUCUGUUAUUAGGGAAGAACAUAUGUGUAAGUAACUGUGCACAUCUUGACGGUACCUAAUCAGAAAGCCACGGCUAACUACGUG
rnacentral:rRNA from 1 species